GGGGGACGAUGCGUAGCCGACCUGAGAGGGUGAUCGGCCACACUGGGACUGAGACACGGCCCAGACUCCUACGGGAGGCAGCAGUAGGGAUCUUCCGCAAUGGACGGAAGUCUGACGGAGCAACGCCGCGUGAGUGAUGAAGGUUUUCGGAUCGUAAAAACUCUGUUGUCAGGGAAGAACAAGUAUGAUAGUAACUGAUCGUACCUUGACGGUACCUGACCAGAAAGCCACGGCUAACUACGUGCCAGCAGCCGCGGUAAUACGUAGGUGGCAAGCGUUGUCCGGAAUUAUUGGGCGUAAAGCGCUCGCAGGCGGUUCUUUAAGUCUGAUGUGAAAUCUUGCGGCUCAACCGCAAACGUGCAUUGGAAACUGGAGGACUUGAGUGCAGAAGAGGAGAGUGGAAUUCCACGUGUAGCGGUGAAAUGCGUAGAGAUGUGGAGGAACACCAGUGGCGAAGGCGACUCUCUGGUCUGUAACUGACGCUGAGGAGCGAAAGCGUGGGGAGCGAACAGGAUUAGAUACCCUGGUAGUCCACGCCGUAAACGAUGAGUGCUAGGUGUUAGGGGGUUUCCGCCCCUUAGUGCUGAAGUUAACGCAUUAAGCACUCCGCCUGGGGAGUACGGCCGCAAGGCUGAAACUCAAAAGAAUUGACGGGGACCCGCACAAGCGGUGGAGCAUGUGGUUUAAUUCGAAGCAACGCGAAGAACCUUACCAGGUCUUGACAUCCUUUGACCACUCUAGAGAUAGAGUUUUCCCUUCGGGGACAAAGUGACAGGUGGUGCAUGGUUGUCGUCAGCUCGUGUCGUGAGAUGUUGGGUUAAGUCCCGCAACGAGCGCAACCCUUAAUCUUAGUUGCCAGCAUUCAGUUGGGCACUCUAAGGUGACUGCCGGUGACAAACCGGAGGAAGGUGGGGAUGACGUCAAAUCAUCAUGCCCCUUAUGACCUGGGCUACACACGUGCUACAAUGGACGGAACAAAGGGAAGCGAACCCGCGAGGUCCAGCAAAUCCCAUAAAACCGUUCUCAGUUCGGAUUGCAGGCUGCAACUCGCCUGCAUGAAGCCGGAAUCGCUAGUAAUCG
rnacentral:rRNA from 1 species